UCUCUCCUAACCUCUCAACCUUGUCUUUCUGUCCAGGUUUGUGUGUAUCUACAGAGGUCCCAGUCAUACUUACAAGGUGCAGCGCCUGACAGAGUCCACUAGUUACCGGUUCAGGAUCCAGGCAUGUAGUGACGCAGGGGAGGGACCCUUCUCAGACACGCAUACCUUCUCUACCACCAAGACUGUACCCUCCGCACUCAAAGCUCCCAGAGUGCACCAGCUGGAAGGGAAUGUGUGUGAGGUCACCUGGGAGGCCAUUCCACCAAUGAGAGGCGACCGUGUCAACUACAUCCUGCAGGUGCUGGUUGGACGAGAGUCAGAGUACAAACAGGUGUUUAAGGGAGAAGAGAGGGCCUUCCAAAUCACCGGACUCCAAGGCAACACCGACUACCGUUUCCGUGUGUGCGCCUGCCGCCGUUGCCAGGAUUCCAACCAGGAACUCUGUGGCCCUCUAAGCCCCUCCUCCCUGUUCACCCUGCGUCGCCAGGAGCAACAGUGCCUGGGGGAGACAAGCGCCGUGGAGACGGUGAAAGGGGCGGGGAUAAUAUCCAGCGAUGAGCGCUUUGCGGCGGUCGUGGUGUGUGUGUUCGCCGGUGUCUCCAUCCUCAUGGCCUGUCUGCUACAAUACUUCUUCAUGAAGUGAGGGAAUGAAUCGGCAACAGGAUAGAAAAGAGAAAACAAAGUGAUAGCGAAAGAAAACGAGCAUCUACGAAAGAAAGGAAAGAAAACAAACACUUGAGAGUCAAGUGCAGGAUAGAAAGAGAAAAAAACGAGAGAGGAAACAGACUUCAAACGAAACAGACCUGAGCUGUACUUCAGUUAUUCUACCACGGCGUUGUCCACGUAUCUCGUUCCUCUUCUCUCUCCUCUCUCUCUUUCCCUCUCUCGCUCGCUCUCUGUUUCUCUUGUCAUUGUUAGUUUGGUCUCUCUAUCUUAUGUAAUGGAUGUAUUUGGAGGGAAGCUGUUCGUGGCCAAAACAAACUGAUAACCAAGCAUUAGCCAGCCAGGAGCCCAGCUCCUCAAUGACCUGCAUGACAUUAUUCUGUAUCUUUUUAAACCUAAUAGACAAAGUGUAUUUUUCUUUAUAUUUCUUUACAGUCAAUUCCUUACUUUACUGUGUCUGUGUCCUAUUUGCGCUGUUCGCUGCAGUUUUUUGUAGUUUUUUCCGUUACGCCAUUUUGAAAUGUAGUUCUAAAGCUUUAGCCAUGUAUCCAUCAAUAUCUGUUACCUUGUCUAUUAUAGGCCAAAUCAUGCAAUCUUUACGCACAGAUGCACACACAGACACAGACACACAGAAACAUACACACACAGGCACACAUGCAUAUGCACAGCGAGACAAACACACACACACACACACACACACUCACACAUGCACAGAGAGACAGAAACACACUCACUCAGAUGCCUUCUCUUCUGUCUUCUUUAUUCAGCUACCAAAGCGAUGCCAUUGUUAAAAAAUGCUGCUAUCCUGUUUCGUUAUAUCUAAGAAAGAAUGGAUUUAGUUACCUAAUAUAUACAAUCUAUAUCAAAUAUAUCUAUGAUAGAUCUACCUAUCUAUAUCUGUAGGGGUGAUGCUAUGAUGUAAUAUAAGAAUUGUAGAGGUCUGGAUGACAGAGAGAAAGAGAAGGAGGGUUCCAGGUAGAUGUUGCCUUUUAACCACAGAUCUAGGACCAGCUUUCUCUCCCCUGAAGCUAACCUAAACCAUUAGGAGUGGGAAAUGCAAAGCUGACUUUAGAUCAGUUUAGGGUAAGGGUGUAAAACCAGGCUCCUGGAGGGCCACACAACUGGCCAUAUCUAGCCAAUCAGCAACACCAGUUGAUGAAUUUAGUUUGAGGUUGGUAAAAACAUGAUGACACUUUGACCUGUGAGAACUGGUCCUGACACCCCUGGUCUAGGGCUAACCUGGUAUAUUCCACUGGGAGUGGUUUAGUGAAUUAUAAUAUGUAUUCUAGGUGCUCGUCUGCAGAUCUGAGGUCAGUUCAGUAGCCAGUCCCCGCUGUCGAAUGUAGAGGUUACUGAAGUAACCUUUUAUCCGCCCCCCACUCUACCCUCAUACCUAUUCAUACCCUUCUUCUUUUCUCUGCCCCCUCUCUCUUUUUCUAUCCCUCCGCCAUUCUCAGUACGUCUCCCUUCCCUCCCUCAUUCCUAACCUCCCUCUCCCUCUCUCCAUCUCUCUAAUUAAUGCUGUAAUCAUCCCUCUCUCUCUAAGCUGUGCUUCGCUCCUACUCGUCAGUUAGCAGAGCCUUUAACUGCUCCAACACCUUUGCCAAAGUCGACGGGAAAGUUACGCUACAAUUUCUCUAUUGGUUUCUAAACCUUUAUUUAUAUACAAUAGAAUAUUUGCAUAAAGUACUUUACAAGCCAAUUACAGUGCAAUCUUUUCAGUUAUUUAUUGUUUAAAAAAUAAAAAUUAAGAGACAAAUGUAAGUGUAGUUAUAAAUGUACUAAUUUUUUUUCUUCUCUCGUAGCAUGUUAUAUUGUUAUUAUGAUCAUUUUUCCGUUUUUUGUUUUUAUUGGAUGUGAUUUUAGAUGUUUGAUUUAAGGCCAGCAUUUCGUACUCUCAGUAGCCAAUUACAUAUCUCAUUUAUUCUCUUACAGUUGUUGGGAAAACCUGUAGUUGUUUCAUUAUUCUGUAUGUCGGUAUCAGUGGCGUUUUUAACAUGUUAACCAAAUGUCUGCCCUUGUCAUCUCCUCUCUGACACACAGAACUGGCUCUUGUCCAUAACCACGUGACCAUCACGUCAUAACACCAAUAAUAAAAGCGUUAUAAUUGUUAUGGGUGUCGUGAUUUCACGGUUAUGACCAGCCUGUGUGGUUUUCUGUAUGCAUUAAGAGAUGUAGCAAACCGUUAGCCAGGUUAUAUUUUAGACCGCUGGAGCAAACACACAGAGUGUCUUCAGAAACGUUACCUUUUCUGAUAUUAAGGUUAUGUUGGCGUCUGUAUUAGGAUUUAAGCACAGGCAUGACGUAAUGUACAACUGAGGGUGCACUGGUGGUUAAAUUAUGUACACUCUUAGAAAAAAGGGUUCUUCGGCUGUCCCCAUAGGAGAACCCUUUUGGGUUCCACGUAGAACCCUCCAAUGGGGACCGUCGAAGAACCCUUAUAUGCUCGAGGUAGCACCUUUUUUUCGGAGAGUUUAUGAAGGUACACUGAAGGUUAAAUAAGGUAUGAAGGUACUCUUUACAGUUACUGUAACCAGUGCUUGAAGAGGACGGCAGAAGGUGGCGGUACUGACUUUAAUUCUACCGUUUGAGCCGGUAUUCUGUAAGAGGUGCCAUUAUUCAGACAGUAUGACGAGACUUGAAGACUCAGGUUAGCUCCGCAUGGCUAAUGCCCUAGGCUUUAGUUCCAGGGGCUAACACCGUCUUGGGACGAUGUACAGUGCCCCCUCAGUGGGAAGGUGCGUGGUGUCUCGGGGAGUCAGAACAAUAGUUGCCUUAAUUUGGCGUUUAUACUGCCUAAUGUUAUAGAUUAAGACGUGUUUGAUAUCAUAUCUGUUUGGAUUCUUUCUGCCAAAGUCGAGGCUUGUGUCAUGCCAUUUUACUUUGUGUGUGUGUGUGUGUGUGUGUGACACACACACGUUCUUUUCAACAUUAUCUUCGUUCUGAAGGGUUCCUUGAUGUUCCCUCUGUGACCACACAGCAUUAUUAUUACUGUCACAUUAUUAUCCUCUCAAAAAUGAAAGACAUAACUUGAUCUGUGAUUUACGCUUCUUUCAUAUGUUUGUUUAUUUUUUUUGUGAAGCUAAAUGUAUUAAAUGUUCCAUUGUUAAAUAUACUACCCCUUUAUUGAGUUUUAACACGCUGAUUUCACACUGAAAAAGGUCAAAAGACUACAACAAUCAAAUCAGGAUUUCAGUCAGACCGAAGAGGAUGAUUAUGAUGAGGAAUACUUUUCCAAGCUUGUUGUCGUAUAAAGAGCCUUAGUGAUUAUUUUGUGUCCAGUAUUUUGCUUAGAAUUGAUAGUCAGUGCAGAGUUAUUAUACGUAUAGAUAUGUAGUAUUGACGCUAAAAUUAAGUAAAUACAACUAACAGAGAUGAUAUGAAGCACUUUUAAAGCGGUAGACCCUUAGCCCACAGGAUAAUUAUCUAUCCUGUGAGAACCAUGAUGCUUUUCAUCAGACAGCUUCUUGUUUUGAUACCAGACACACAGAAUGCCCGCCGGGCACUCUGUUACAUUGGCAUUACAAUGUCGUCUGACGUUUUGACUACGUCAUUGUUGUGACGGAGUCGUCUGGUAUUGUUGUGUCAUUUGGUGUUGCUGUGUCAUACAGCGUUAUUAUGUCAUCUGGCGUGACUUUGUCAUGUUGUGUCCGUCUUUCCUGUUCACCUGUCUCAGUUAGAAAAAAGACUGUUGAUAUGUCCUGUUGUGUUAAAUGUCCCCCAAGCCUUUUACAGCCAAAUCAUUCCUAAUGUUGUGUUAAAUCUCCCCCAAGCCUUUUACAGCCAAAUCAUUCCUAAUGUUGUGUUAAAUCUCCCCCAAGCCUUUUACAGCCAAAUCAUUCCUAAUGUUGUGUUAAAUGUCCCCCAAGCCUUUUACAGCCAAAUCAUUCCUAAUGUUGUGUUAAAUGUCCCCCAAGCCUUUUACAGCCAAAUCAUUCCUAAUGUUGUGUUAAAUCUCCCCCAAGCCUUUUACAGCCAAAUCAUUCCUAAUGUUGUGUUAAAUCUCCCCCAAGCCUUUUACAGCCAAAUCAUUCCUAAUGUUGUGUUAAAUCUCCCCCAAGCCUUUUACAGCCAAAUCAUUCCUAAUGUUGUGUUAAAUCUCCCCCAAGCCUUUUACAGCCAAAUCAUUCCUAAUGUUGUGUUAAAUCUCCCCCAAGCCUUUUACAGCCAAAUCAUUCCUGAUGUUGUGUUAAAUCUCCCCCAAGCCUUUUACAGCCAAAUCAUUCCUAAUGUUGUGUUAAAUCUCCCCCAAGCCUUUUACAGCCAAAUCAUUCCUAAUGUUGUGUUAAAUGUCCCCCAAGCCUUUUACAGCCAAAUCAUUCCUAAUGUUGUGUUAAAUCUCCCCCAAGCCUUUUACAGCCAAAUCAUUCCUAAUGUUGUGUUAGAUCUCCCCCAAGCCUUUUACAGCCAAGUAAUUCCUCAUGUCUAGGGACAGGAGUUUUCCCUGACCAUGUGAAUUGACCAGGAUGGUUAGGACACAUGGUCACAAAAUAAUCCUGUCCCAACUCCCUAAUAAUGCCUAAUGUUAUAGGCUAAGGUUAGGAUAAUGGUAGGCCAAUGCUAGGCCUGUGAUAUCACCAAUAAUAUGUUCUCUAAAGGCUUUUGGCUACUGUUUUUCCAGGGCUUGGCCCAGUGGCUACUUGUCUGUGUGAGCAGCGUACACCCUGUAAGAUUUGUAUUUAGGAAAAUCUAUAGACCCUUCUGGUCCUGCUCAUCUAGUGGGUCCUGAACAAAACAGAUACUUCUGCCCAGCAACCCAGCAACUGUGCCUUCUGAUUGGUUACUUUUUUUAGUCUGAUUAAUAAUAAAAACAAAUUGAAACCUAAAAUACGGAAUUUGAAUAUGAGAGAUUAGAGAUUGAAUGGGUAACAGUCCCAGAUUAAUGUAUGAAGACUUGUAUGUAUUAAAUAUUUUUUUAUUAGUCAACAACAUAUUUGUACCUCACACUUAUCAAAACAAACAUUCCAAUGUUGUCAUGGGCUACGAUUUGAAAGGAAAAAAAAUUAUCAUACAUUUCUACUACUUUGUAUUGUAAAUGUUAGACUAUUUCAUAUGCAUUAUAUAAAAUAAACCGCCAUAUCAAUUUUAAUGUAUAGAUUUUGCAAAUACUACCCUCUGUAUGUAAGACCUAACUGUAUCGGUAGCCUGUGUUAUAUAAUAUAUUUAUGCCCAAUAAAUGUUAAAUUUUUUCUGACCUUGA